rnacentral:rRNA from 1 species
GAUGAACGCUGGCGGCGUGCCUAAUACAUGCAAGUCGAGCGAACAGACGAGGAGCUUGCUCCUUCGACGUUAGCGGCGGACGGGUGAGUAACACGUAGGUAACCUACCUAUAAGACUGGGAUAACUUCGGGAAACCGGAGCUAAUACCGGAUAAUAUUUCGAACCGCAUGGUUCGAUAGUGAAAGAUGGCUUUGCUAUCACUUAUAGAUGGACCUGCGCCGUAUUAGCUAGUUGGUAAGGUAACGGCUUACCAAGGCAACGAUACGUAGCCGACCUGAGAGGGUGAUCGGCCACACUGGAAUUGAGACACGGUCCAGACUCCUACGGGAGGCAGCAGUAGGGAAUCUUCCGCAAUGGGCGAAAGCCUGACGGAGCAACGCCGCGUGAGUGAUGAAGGUCUUCGGAUCGUAAAACUCUGUUAUUAGGGAAGAACAAACGUGUAAGUAACUGUGCACGUCUUGACGGUACCUAAUCAGAAAGCCACGGCUAACUACGUG